rnacentral:rRNA from 1 species
AUUGAACGCUGGCGGCAGGCCUAACACAUGCAAGUCGAACGAGUGGCGGACGGGUGAGUAAUGUCUGGGAACCUGCCCGAUGGAGGGGGAUAACUACUGGAAACGGUAGCUAAUACCGCAUACCAUCGGAUGUGCCCAGAUGGUAUUAGCUAGUAGGUGGGGUAACGGCUCACCUAGGCGACGAUCCCUAGCUGGUCUGAGCGGAUGACCAGCCAAACUGGAACUGAGACACGGUCCAGACUCCUACGUGAGGCAGCAGUAGGGAAUAUUGCACAAUGGGCGCAAGCCUGAUGGAGCCAUGCCGCGUGAAUGAAGAAGGCUUUCGGGUUGUAAAGUACUGUCAGCGAGGAGGCGUUACUCGAAGAAGAAGCACCGGCUAACUCCGUGCCAGCAGCCGCGGUAAUAC